UUCGGCUAUAUUAGGUUGAAACACAGGUUCUUGUACGAUCACCGUAGUUAAGCAAAGUUGAGGCCAGAUUGUACCUAGAUGAGUGACCAUUAGGGAAUAUCAGGUGAUGA